UGCAAGUCGAACGAAGUCUUCGGACUUAGUGGCGCACGGGUGCGUAACGCGUGGGAACCUGCCUUUAGGUACGGAAUAACAGUUAGAAAUGACUGCUAAUACCGUAUAAUGUCUUCGGACCAAAGAUUUAUCGCCUUUAGAUGGGCCCGCGUUGGAUUAGGUAGUUGGUGGGGUAAAGGCCUACCAAGCCGACGAUCCAUAGCUGGUCUGAGAGGAUGAUCAGCCACACUGGGACUGAGACACGGCCCAGACUCCUACGGGAGGCAGCAGUGGGGAAUAUUGGACAAUGGGGGAAACCCUGAUCCAGCAAUGCCGCGUGAGUGAUGAAGGCCUUAGGGUUGUAAAGCUCUUUUACCAGGGAUGAUAAUGACAGUACCUGGAGAAUAAGCUCCGGCUAACUCCGUGCCAGCAGCCGCGGUAAUACGGAGGGAGCUAGCGUUGUUCGGAAUUACUGGGCGUAAAGCGCGCGUAGGCGGUCUAUUAAGUCAGGGGUGAAAUCCCGGGGCUCAACCCCGGAACUGCCCUUGAAACUGCUAGACUAGAAUCUUGGAGAGGCGAGUGGAAUUCCGAGUGUAGAGGUGAAAUUCGUAGAUAUUCGGAAGAACACCAGUGGCGAAGGCGACUCGCUGGACAAGUAUUGACGCUGAGGUGCGAAAGUGUGGGGAGCAAACAGGAUUAGAUACCCUGGUAGUCCACACCGUAAACGAUGAUAACUAGCUGUCCGGGCACAUGGUGCUUGGGUGGCGCAGCUAACGCAUUAAGUUAUCCGCCUGGGGAGUACGGUCGCAAGAUUAAAACUCAAAGGAAUUGACGGGGGCCUGCACAAGCGGUGGAGCAUGUGGUUUAAUUC
rnacentral:rRNA from 1 species